rnacentral:rRNA from 1 species
GACAGAGGGUGCAAACGUUGUUCGGAAUUACUGGGCGUAAAGCGCGUGUAGGCUGCUUCGCAAGUCGGAUGUGAAAGCCCUGGGCUCAACUCAGGAAGUGCAUUCGAAACUGCAGAGCUGGAGUCCUGGAGAGGAAGGCGGAAUUCUCGGUGUAGAGGUGAAAUUCGUAGAUAUCGAGAGGAACACCGGUGGCGAAGGCGGCCUUCUGGACAGUGACUGACGCUGAGACGCGAAAGCGUGGGGAGCAAACAGG